AGGGAGCUUGCUCCCGGAUGUUAGCGGCGGACGGGUGAGUAACACGUGGGUAACCUGCCUGUAAGACUGGGAUAACUCCGGGAAACCGGAGCUAAUACCGGAUAGUUCCUUGAACCGCAUGGUUCAAGGAUGAAAGACGGUUUCGGCUGUCACUUACAGAUGGACCCGCGGCGCAUUAGCUAGUUGGUGAGGUAACGGCUCACCAAGGCGACGAUGCGUAGCCGACCUGAGAGGGUGAUCGGCCACACUGGGACUGAGACACGGCCCAGACUCCUACGGGAGGCAGCAGUAGGGAAUCUUCCGCAAUGGACGAAAGUCUGACGGAGCAACGCCGCGUGAGUGAUGAAGGUUUUCGGAUCGUAAAGCUCUGUUGUUAGGGAAGAACAAGUGCAAGAGUAACUGCUUGCACCUUGACGGUACCUAACCAGAAAGCCACGGCUAACUACGUGCCAGCAGCCGCGGUAAUACGUAGGUGGCAAGCGUUGUCCGGAAUUAUUGGGCGUAAAGGGCUCGCAGGCGGUUUCUUAAGUCUGAUGUGAAAGCCCCCGGCUCAACCGGGGAGGGU
rnacentral:rRNA from 1 species